CACGUAGGGACCGAGCGUUGUCCGGAUUUAUUGGGCGUAAAGAGCUCGUAGGCGGUCGUGUAAGUCGGGUGUGAAAUCUCCAGGCUCAACUUGGAGGGGCCACCCGAUACUGCACAACUCGAGUCCGGUAGGGGAGUAGGGAAUUCCUGGUGUAGCGGUGAAAUGCGUAGAUAUCAGGAGGAACACCGGUGGUGUAGACGGCUUCCUGGACCGUAACUGACGCUGAGACACGAAAGCGUGGGUAGCAAACAGG
rnacentral:rRNA from 1 species